AGCGAACACCAGCUGCUCCCCGCGCCGGGCGCCGCGCGCCGCUGCUCCGCCGCUCGGCCCCUCGGCUGCUGCUCCGCCGGCGCUGCCUCCCUCGCCCCGCGGCUCCCCCUUGCAACUUGGCGGGCCUCCUCCCUUUUGUCCGGCCCGGCCCGGCCGCCGCCGCCCCCCGCGCCCGGCGCCGAGCUCCCGGGUCUCCGGGCCGGCUGUCGGUGCCGGCAGGGCGCGGAGGGGGCGGGGGCCGCGGCUCGUCCCCCCGCGGAUGAGCCGCCGCGGACGGGGCGCGGGCGGACGAUGGAACUCCACAUCCUGGAGCACCGGCUGCAAGUUGCCAGCGUCGCCAAGGAGAGUAUCCCGCUGUUCACCUACGGCCUGAUCAAACUUGCCUUCCUGUCCUCCAAGACCAGAUGAUGAUUAUUCUCCACCGUCUAAGAGACCAAAGGCCAAUGAGCUACCGCAGCCACCAGUCCCGGAACCCGCCAAUGCUGGGAAGCGGAAAGUGAGGGAGUUCAACUUCGAGAAAUGGAAUGCUCGCAUCACUGAUCUACGUAAACAAGUUGAAGAAUUGUUUGAAAGGAAAUAUGCUCAAGCCAUAAAAGCCAAAGGUCCGGUGACGAUCCCGUACCCUCUUUUCUAGUCUCAUGUUGAAGAUCUUUAUGUAGAAGGACUUCCUGAAGGAAUUCCUUUUAGAAGGCCAUCUACUUACGGAAUUCCUCGCCUGGAGAGGAUAUUACUUGCAAAGGAAAGGAUUCGUUUUGUGAUUAAGAAACAUGAGCUUCUGAGUUCAACACGUGAAGAUUUACAGCUUGAUAAGCCAGCUUCAGGAGUAAAGGAAGAAUGGUAUGCCAGAAUCACUAAAUUAAGAAAGAUGGUGGAUCAGCUUUUCUGCAAAAAAUUUGCGGAAGCCUUGGGGAGCACUGAAGCCAAGGCUGUACCGUACCAAAAAUUUGAGGCACACCCGAAUGAUCUGUACGUGGAAGGACUGCCAGAAAACAUUCCUUUCCGAAGUCCCUCAUGGUAUGGAAUCCCAAGGCUGGAAAAAAUCAUUCAAGUGGGCAAUCGAAUUAAAUUUGUUAUUAAAAGACCAGAACUUCUGACUCACAGUACCACUGAAGUUACUCAGCCAAGAACGAAUACACCAGUCAAAGAAGAUUGGAAUGUCAGAAUUACCAAGCUACGGAAGCAAGUGGAAGAGAUUUUUAAUUUGAAAUUUGCUCAAGCUCUUGGACUCACCGAGGCAGUAAAAGUACCAUAUCCUGUGUUUGAAUCAAACCCGGAGUUCUUGUAUGUGGAAGGCUUGCCAGAGGGGAUUCCCUUCCGAAGCCCUACCUGGUUUGGAAUUCCACGACUUGAAAGGAUCGUCCGCGGGAGUAAUAAAAUCAAGUUCGUUGUUAAAAAACCUGAACUAGUUAUUUCCUACUUGCCUCCUGGGAUGGCUAGUAAAAUAAACACUAAAGCUUUGCAGUCCCCCAAAAGACCACGAAGUCCUGGGAGUAAUUCAAAGGUUCCUGAAAUUGAGGUCACCGUGGAAGGCCCUAAUAACAACAAUCCUCAAACCUCAGCUGUUCGAACCCCGACCCAGACUAACGGUUCUAACGUUCCCUUCAAGCCACGAGGGAGAGAGUUUUCCUUUGAGGCCUGGAAUGCCAAAAUCACGGACCUAAAACAGAAAGUUGAAAAUCUCUUCAAUGAGAAAUGUGGGGAAGCUCUUGGCCUUAAACAAGCUGUGAAGGUGCCGUUCGCGUUAUUUGAGUCUUUCCCGGAAGACUUUUAUGUGGAAGGCUUACCUGAGGGUGUGCCAUUCCGAAGACCAUCGACUUUUGGCAUUCCGAGGCUGGAGAAGAUACUCAGAAACAAAGCCAAAAUUAAGUUCAUCAUUAAAAAGCCCGAAAUGUUUGAGACGGCGAUUAAGGAGAGCACCUCCUCUAAGAGCCCUCCCAGAAAAAUAAAUUCAUCACCCAAUGUUAAUACUACUGCAUCAGGUGUUGAAGACCUUAACAUCAUUCAGGUGACAAUUCCAGAUGAUGAUAAUGAAAGACUCUCGAAAGUUGAAAAAGCUGUCGCUAAGAGAACAAGUGAAUGACCUCUUUAGUCGGAAAUUUGGUGAAGCUAUUGGUAUGGGUUUUCCUGUGAAAGUUCCCUACAGGAAAAUCACAAUUAACCCUGGCUGUGUGGUGGUUGAUGGCAUGCCCCCGGGGGUGUCCUUCAAAGCCCCCAGCUACCUGGAAAUCAGCUCCAUGAGAAGGAUCUUAGACUCUGCCGAGUUUAUCAAAUUCACGGUCAUUAGACCAUUUCCAGGACUUGUGAUUAAUAACCAGCUGGUUGAUCAGAGUGAGUCAGAAGGCCCCGUGAUACAAGAAUCAGCUGAACCAAGCCAGUUGGAAGUUCCAGCCACAGAAGAAAUAAAAGAGACUGAUGGAAGCUCUCAGAUCAAGCAAGAACCAGACCCCACGUGGUAGACCUCUUCCCUCCUAGGCUUAAAGUAUCAGUGGUUGAGAAGAGCUUUUCGGACCUGUUACUACCCCAAGCUGUGUAAUAUACUUGUAUAACAGAAAUACCUUCUAUACAAACCUUUUUUUCUACUUUUAGAUAGAAAUGUCUACUUUUUCAGCAGUUCUGUGAAUUAAAGAGCAGAGUGACUGUGGGUCUGGAAUGGCUGGUGUACUUGGGAAUGUACUAUCAGGAUUUUACAGCAAUGCUGGGAAAUGACAGGGAAAAUGACAGGAAUGAAUCUCACCAGAUUUUUUAUGUACUCAGCAGAGCCUUGAGUUACGGUGUUUAUUUUCCAAUCAAGUGAAGAUAUCUCCUACUUCUCCUACUGGAACAUCUCAGCUUCUGCAGUGAAGAAAAAUUCCUGUGAUAGUUCAGUUCUUUAGUUUUUCUAUUUGAAAAAAAAAAAUCAUUUAAAUGAUCCUUUGUUCACGGCUCUCCUUAAUGACUGAGUGAACAGUUCCUAUCUGUAUAUUUGACUAAACCUUUUCCUAAGCUAUCUCUCAUGGUUCCUAUGUUUUUUUAUCAUAAUUAAAAGCAAAACCAUCUGGAUCACCUAACAGUCAGAGGUCAGUAUCUCAGCGUGUGAAUUAUAGAGGAAAUACAGAGAGAACCUCUUCCACUUUUACUUUUCGUCCAAAUAAAAUGCAUGGUGUACCAGAAGUUGAAGAUCGGGUUGAGGAUUGGGGCUAGCUCGAUGACACUAAGGCCCCAACAUCGCGGGACCUGCUGUGGCGCGGAUUCUUAGGAACGCUGUUCUAGCCGGCCCCCUCUCCAGGGGUCGCCGUGGCCGGCAUUAUUUCCUAGUUCUUCUUGUAACCCUGAGGUGCCAGCGCGGGGAGUGAGGAGGGGUCAGGGGGCUAAGGAUGCAACCUCUGACGUUCUGCGCCUUCCUAGGAGAGUCUUACAUGUGUUGAGAUUUCACAAGCAAUGCGAGUUGUAAAAUACCAGCUCUACAAGAAGCUAGGCUCUGUGACGGCAUAGUUUUCAGUAGCUUUAUCACAAUAUUCACAAUGGAGAAUUAUAUGACAUGGUAGCAGAAAUAGGCCCUUUUAUGUGUUGCUUCUAUUUUACCUCAAAUUGUAGAUAUAGGGUAAUCAAUAAAAUCCAUCCAUGCC
ensembl:lncRNA GTF2IP1 general transcription factor IIi pseudogene 1